AUGAAGAUCUCUGUGAGUUUUAUGCUGUGGCUGCUGCUUGGCGCCGCCUCCCCAAGUGAAAGUACCGAUUAUCAGCAGUCUUUUCCUCAAGACAUCUACGCUGCGCUGAGAGAGAUGACCGCCUCGUUGGUUCAACUGAAGGCUGACAUGACGAUGAUGCAGAGAGAAUUCCUGCAGACUCAAGAACAAGCAGCACAGCAGAAGACUGAAGUGGACAAUCUGAAUCAACAACAGCUAGCAGAUAAUCAAAUUCAACAUCAUAGCAGUAUGAAGAAACAAUGAAUGGCUACAGCGUAUAGGAGGCAGUAUGCUGUCUUCACAACUCGGAGACAAAUUGUAGGCACUACGAACCGGAGCAAGGCUGCCUGUAAUUACGAGCCAGUUAGCAGGAGCUUCAGGUAGAAACAACCAGAUCUUGCAUCGCAGGCGGAAGCUGUGAAGAGCUCAGCUCAGAGUCCAGCGAGAAGAAAGAGGGUAAGAUUAGAUCCCUUUUGGUCAAUGUGACUAUUUUUAAUGAAUUAAUAGAUGUGUUGUGUCCAGUGUUGGGAGUAAAGGCAUUUAAGUAUAAAGGUGUUACUAACGGUGUUAUUUUUUCAGUAACGGAGUAAUAAAAUUAAUUACUUUUCCCAUCGUUGCAACGCCGUUAUCGUUACUCGAAUGAAAAGUGGCGAGGUACUACAAUUUGGUUGAAUGGAGAUCGAGGUGUCAGGCUUUGGCUACACGUCAGCUGCCUGGAGACAGUGUGGGGGGGGCGGUGAUGACAGCGUUGCAAAUGCGAUGGUGAUUGGCUGGGUGGGUGGAUGCCCUGCUCACGCUGUCUCACUGCACGCUCUUACUACCACUAAACACAAGACAGCGACAAUGGCGACAAGUAAGGGAAAUUUAAAAUGUAGCGUUCUUGAACUGGAAGUAUCGGCACUAGUUUUCCCUCAUUGAAAUUAAAGGCAAGAAUGUUUAUGUAACAUGCACGCUAUGGCCAGGAAAAAAGACUUUAUCCACGUCUGGCUCAAGCAACUAAAAUCUUAUGAAGCACCUCACAUCAACACAUGAAGCUCAU